CCUAUUUCCUUCUUAGGACACUCAUCUCCCUGUGAAAGCAUUCUUGUGUAGAUACUUCCCAUGGCUUGCAUACUCCUCUGCUUCUUAUUUCUCCUACUCCCAUUCAUCUCUCAGAUCUCCUCAGGUCAUAUCCUGUCUGCAUAUGUGGCCCUCAGGGAGACUGUGGAACUACCAUGCCCUGAACCACCUACCUUGUAUGGAGAUGAGGAGCUAUCAUGGUUCCGAAGCCCUGUGUCUGGAUUCCCUACUAUCUUAGUGAUCCGUAUCCCCAUGGCUAACAAGCCUCCAAAGAUAGAGACCUUGAGGGAAGUCAGGCUAAGUCUGCUGGGGAAUAAUUCCCUGUGGCUAGAAGGGGCUAAAGAGGAGGAUGCAGGACGAUACUGGUGUGCUCUGCUUGGCAAAUAUUUCAAGUACCAUAACUGGAGGGUAUAUGACCUCUCUGUGAUCAGAGGCUUCCAGCUAUCAGCAAAAACUACUGAUGGUUCUCUCUGCUCAAUACUGGUCUGUUCAGUGGUCUCAGCAGUUUUCCUAGACUCUGUGGCUUGGCUGGAAGAGAAGGGGAAGGUGAAGGGUAGGAUGGAGACUUUCAUGGGAAAGAAUGCUUCCCUUCUCAUGGUGUGUCCUGUGGAGGGAACCUCCGAGUCCCGUAGCCGAAAGGCCAGAAGCAUUCGUUGCAUUUUCCCCCAGAACAAGGGCAUCAGUUUCAACCUGACAGCUGCGGCCUCCCCAAAUGCCCUUCCUGCUCACUGUGUGAUCUCACCAACCUGGGAUAUCCAAAAGAUCCUGUUGCUGCUUUGUAUUGUGGGACAGGGGGUCACCAUCCUGGCCCUGGGAAUAGUUCUGUGGAGACGCCGGAACCAUGGGGCCCAUUACAGAGAUAACUCCACUUCUCAUUUCAAGCCAGAAACUGAGGUUUAUGAAAAUAUCCACUUGACCAUCCCCAGCCCACCUGCCCCUAGGACCAUGUGAUCUUGAUGAUGUCAUCUGCAAGGAGAAGGGAUCUGCAGGUCUCCUUGGAAACCCAGGAUGAAACAAAGCUCCUGUUACCUCAUCAAAAACAUGGGGGCUUGGGAGACAGUACUACCUCUGUUUCUCUUGUCUCCUCUGGGGAGAACUGUUGCGGGGAGGGAAGAGAGGGGAAAGGAUGUUUCACAAAUGAAAUUAUGUUGUCACCUAUCUCCUAGUGUGCACCCAAGCCAGUUUCAACAUUGGGGAAUGCUGUGGUCAGCUGGGUGCGGGUGGGUGCAGAAGUAAGGAGGUGACAUUAAAGACAGAGAGAAGGGAGGCUAAGAACAAAAAGAAGAACAAGACCAAGGGAAGGAGGGGGGCCCACAGAGGAAAAGACUGAGGAAAAAGAGGACUGAAGGGCAGCGAGAGAGGGAAACUAAUGGGCAAAUUGAAAAGAAAAACUUAGAGCUGGACAUGUCUCCUGUUGUCUCAUCCUCCUAAAAAGAAAUUCGGACUGGGGGUUUGGGGUAGGAUGAGGAAAGUCUGACACCCACCUUCUCUAUCCCCUGAGGACCUCUAGAAAAGAAGAAACGUCCAGAAAGUGAUACUCCAUCUAUCUCAUGAUCUUGCCUUUUGGAAAAGUUAUCUUGGAGGAGAGGAGGAAGAUACUCCAUGACUGGAUCUUGGCUCCACCUAUUGGGUCCACAGCCUAGAGCAGGGGUUCUCAACUUUUUUAGGUCCCUGUCCCCCUUGGCUUUCAGUAAACCUUCACAUACUACUUAUUCUAUGUAAAAUUCUAGAAAUAAAUUCUGGAGUUUACCAUGCAAGUAUAACAAGAGAAAUAAAGUAGAUCAAUUUCAAUUAUA